rnacentral:lncRNA from 1 species
GAAAAAAGAAAAAAAGGAAGCUGGAGAAACAUAUUUCUGCGACGUUAACAGCCAUUCUUGUUUUCUCCGUGUGUGUGUGCUUUGUCUGUCUGCAGGGCCCUUGCAGACAUCCUGAGGCAGCAGGGGCCCAUCCCCAUAUCGCAAUACGACUGUGAGAAUUUCGCAGCGAUGAACGGCUCGCCCAAGGACAACACGCCAGUCAGAACCUCGUCCAAGAACCACUACACCCCGGUGCACGCCUCCAAAUCCAACCACGGACUCCACUAUGGAAAGGAGAGCAUCCGGAGCAGUGGAGGCGCUGACCUUCACAACUUCAUCUCCUCGGGCUUCGUGACAUUAGGUCGGGGCCAUCAGAAAGGUAGAGUACCUUUUCUUUCUUCCUCUUCUUCUCUUUCCUCACACAGGAGAUUGAAUGAACUCCCCUUAUCUACCAACACGGCGCUCUAUACCUGAUGAAU